GACGAACGCUGGCGGCGUGCCUAAUACAUGCAAGUCGAACGAAAGCAACCGGUGCUUGCACUUGUCAUUCUAGUGGCGGACGGGUGAGUAACACGUGGAUAACCUGCCUAUCAGAGUGGGAUAACAUCCGGAAACGGAUGCUAAAACCGCAUAAGUCUUCGAACCGCAUGGUUUGAAGGGGAAAGAAGGCCCAGGCUUCUGCUGAUGGAGGGACCCGCGGUGCAUUAGCUAGUUGGUGAGGUAACGGCUCACCAAGGCAGUGAUGCAUAGCCGACCUGAGAGGGUGAUCGGCCACAUUGGGACUGAGACACGGUCCAAACUCCUACGGGAGGCAGCAGUAGGGAAUCUUCCGCAAUGGACGAAAGUCUGACGGAGCAACGCCGCGUGAGUGAAGAAGGUCUUCGGAUCGUAAAACUCUGUUGUUAGGGAAGAACAUGUGCUAGAGUAACUGUUCGCGUCUUGACGGUACCUAACCAGAAAGCCACGGCUAACUACGUG
rnacentral:rRNA from 1 species